AGGAUCAUUCGCAAUGGGGGAAACCCUGACGAUGCGACGCUGCGUGGAGGAUGAAGGCCCUCGGGUCGUAAACUCCUGUCAUGACGGAAAAGGAGAGGGGUGCCAACACCACCCUUAUUUGAUGGUACGUCAAGAGGAAGAGACGGCUAACUCUGUGCCAGCAGCCGCGGUAAUACAGAGGUCUCGAGCGUUGUUCGGAUUUACUGGGCGUAAAGGGCGCGUAGGCGGCGAGGCGUGUCGAGUGUGAAAUCUCCGGGCUCAACCCGGAAAGUGCGCUCGAAACUGCCGCGCUGGAGUACGGGAUGGGGAAUCGGAAUGCAGGGUGUAGCGGUGAAAUGCGUUGAUAUCCUGCAGAACACCGGAGGCGAAGGCGGAUUCCUGGAACGUUACUGACGCUGAGGCGCGAAAGUCGGGGGAGCAAACA
rnacentral:rRNA from 1 species